GACGGAGGAUGCAAGUGUUAUCCGGAAUCACUGGGCGUAAAGCGUCUGUAGGUGGUUUAAUAAGUCAACUGUUAAAUCUUGAGGCUCAACCUCAAAAUCGCAGUCGAAACUAUUAGGCUAGAGUAUAGUAGGGGUAAAGGGAAUUUCCAGUGGAGCGGUGAAAUGCGUAGAGAUUGGAAAGAACACCGAUGGCGAAGGCACUUUGCUGGGCUAUUACUAACACUCAGAGACGAAAGCUAGGGUAGCAAAUGGG
rnacentral:rRNA from 1 species